UACGAAGGGGGCUAGCGUUGUUCGGAAUUACUGGGCGUAAAGCGCACGUAGGCGGAUAUUUAAGUCAGGGGUGAAAUCCCAGAGCUCAACUCCAGAACUGCCUUUGAUACUGGCGAUCUCGAGUCCGGGAGAGGUGAGUGGAACUGCGAGUGUAGAGGUGAAAUUCGUAGAUAUUCGCAAGAACACCAGUGGCGAAGGCGGCUCACUGGCCCGGUACUGACGCUGAGGUGCGAAAGCGUGGGGAGCAAACAGG
rnacentral:rRNA from 1 species